AAAAUCUAAUUUAGCACUCUAAAUCAAAACAUAUUGAAAUAAAACAUCAUUUUAUUCGUGAUCAUGUUAACAAGAAAGAUAUUGAAUUAAUCUUUGUUGAUACUCCAAAUCAGCUAGUUGACAUUUUUACAAAGCCUCUAGUUGAGGAUAGUUUCAAUUUCAUCAAAGAAAAAUUGAAAAUUGUGAAAAACCCCAAAAAAUUCAAGUUAAAAUAUGUUUCUGUAGAAAACGGAGAACGAUAAUCAAUCUAUGUUUUCCAGACAUCAUUCUCCGUUUUCAACCAUCAUUCUCCCCUGCGUCAUCACUUUCUCUCUUGCCCAUAAAAGGCAAAUCUUGGCAUUUAAUUCAUGUGUCUUCUUGUCUUCAAAAAGGGUACUGACACGCUAUCGAGUGACUUUCUGCCCCCAAAUUUCUUCUCCUUCCCAAGGUUCAAAUCAUCAUUCCAUUUUCUCUUCAAAAUAAAAAAUUCUGUUGUAAAUUGAACCACAACAAACCCUUCAUUUUCUCAACUCUGUUUUCUCCAAAUCAUUUUCUCAAAACACAACAAUGACGUGCACUAAGACAUUUGCAUGCAAACAAGUUAUUUGUGACAGUUGAAUCGACUCACCUGACAUAUGAAUAAACAAGUUUUAAGAGGUUUUGUGAAUCGACUCACACACAUAUGGAUUGACUCACAUUGCUUUAGAAUCAAAUUUUGAGCUUUCAAGAAUCUUAUGAAUCAAUUCAGAAGACUGUAAGUUGAUUCACACAAUCUACAUAACUAGUUUUUGAUAUUUACAAAUCAAUUAUGAUGCAUUGUAAUUUCACUAACCAACUCAUGUUCCUUAAAUAUUGAUAUGUUAUAUAAUUCCGAGGAAGAAAACUUUCAAUUAUUCCUCAUCAUUCAUUCAUGUGAGAUAAUAAUCAAGAUUAAAAAAAUUUAUAGUUCAAGUCUUGUGUGAUUUUGAGUUAUUAAGCGAUAAUUAACAAGGGUGAGGUAUCACUUGUUGGAGUGAUUUUUUCAAAUGUGGGCAAUUGAGAGAAUUUCGAUUAUCUACACGUUGAAGGUCUGAAAAUAUGUGUCUUUUCAAGUUCUAAAGUGGUAGUAACUCUAGAGGUUUUUAUCUUGUAAGAUUGGAGGGGCUGUCUUCCUCUUGAAAAUAAUGGUUUAUAUUUCGUCUUGCUUCAAGAAAUCUGGUUUAUAGGGGUUUAGAUGUUCAUUAUAAUAAAGAGAAAAACUCUUCAUCAUUUGAAUGGGAACUGACUGUACUCUUCAUGCAAGGAUUAAGUAGAUGAAUCAAUAUAAAAUCACGAUGUGAUUUUUUUUUCUUUAAUCAUUUUACUUUUAUUGUUUGAUAUUCAUUAUAUUUUCUAUAAUGGAGUUUGGAAG
rnacentral:lncRNA from 1 species